rnacentral:sRNA from 1 species
UUUUUUUAGGUCAAUAAUCUUCAGCUGGACUCUGAGAAUGUUAAACGUUUUGCGCCUUCUUCUUUUGGUGGAGGCGGGUGGGGUGGAGGUGUAGUCUCCAGACGUGAAUCUACAAACGAAGCGCUGGACUCUGAUCUCCAC